GUUCACAUGAUGUGACGCUGUGGUUAGUAUGACUGCCUGCAACGCAGAAGGUUCCGGGUUCAAUUCCCGGUGAGAUCA